GUGCUCAUCUCAGCAGCACACAUACUCAAAUUGGAGUAAUACCGAGGAGAUUAGCAUGGCCCCUCCAUAAGGACGACACACAAAUUAAUGAAGCAUUUCAUAUUUAU